AGCACUGAGUAUAUUUUUGUUUAACUUCUGAACAAAGACUUACAGACAAGUACAAAAAUAAUAAUAAUUCUCUUUUGCAACUCAGAAUUUACUGUUCAGUAUGAGUUUUGAUAUAGAUAAGACGGAAUAUU
rnacentral:snoRNA from 1 species